CACUGGUGCAAGUCCCAGAGUACAAAGGCUAAAGAACCUGGAAUUUGAUGUCCUAGGGCAGGAGAAGAAAAGGGGUACUGCUCUGGAAAAGAGAGAGAAAGAGAGAAAAAAAAGGAAGCAAGAAAAAGAAAAAAAGAAAAGCAAGCAAGCUGAAUGUCUUCCUUCUUCCACCUCCUUUGUUAGUCGAAGUCUUUUCUGUUGUCCAUGCUGGAGUGCAGUGGCACAAUUAUAGCUCACUGUGGUCUCAAACUCCUGAGUGUAAACAAUCCUCCUGUCUCAGCCUCCCAAGUAGCUGGGACUACAGGCAAGUACCCACCACAUCCGGCUAAUAUUUUUUCUUAUUUUUUGUAGAGCAGGUGUCUCUCUCGUUGCCCAGGCUAGUCUCAGACUCAUGACCUCAAAGAGUCCUC
rnacentral:lncRNA from 1 species